UGUGGGGAAGCUGGGGCUUAGAGUUAUUUAAAGGCCCUGUGCAGGCUCUCCUUCUGUUGGAGGCUAAACUUCAAGUGCAAUGGGGUUCUUUAUUUUCUUUCUGUAUAGCACACAGAGCUAGGGUGGAAACUAGGUUUUGAGCAUAUUUGGAAAGUACUAGAACACUGAAUUAAUUCCUAGGGCUGGAACCCUAUUAAUGUUCUACAGAAUUACAGGGCAGGCUGGAUGAAGACUCUCAGCUGACAAUGUGGACAUCUCAAGACAGGCACUGGACAAUGGCUGACAGACUUAUAUGAAGACUGGAAAUGUUUUGCUUUCUCAGAGGAAAAGAAGGCCCCUCCGACUACACUGUACUCUAAGGACAGUUUAUUCAGGUGCUUCCUACACAAGAAGUCACAUGACCACAGAGUGUCAUUUGUCAAAGAACCAAGAACUUGUUCAAAACUCUACAGAGCAUCUAAUCUAUCACGUGGAUAUGCAAUAAUGAGGUAUGUUAUUAAUCUGUCACCAUUUCUUUACUGCAGCUUCAAAAAGAGCAGACAAAUAUACUUGCAAAAUAAUUCAGUUUCUGAAAAGUGGUUGGCUUCCCAGAAUACUUGUGCAUAGGCAGAGCAAUGAACAAUUCCAUUACAUGAGGUGGUUGGGUGGUUGUGAGUGUAAAUUAGAAAGGUGGUAGGAGAGAGCAAAGAUGUAUCAAAUUGGCAAACUUUAUCAGAUAUUUUUAAGCUAACACAGCUGCUCAACCCUACCAGAUGAUGCUGGGUCUGGACGUUGCUGGUCUUUAUCUUUCUUGUUGAAGUCAACCAAAUAUUUCUGGUUCAGUGCACAAUCAAGAUGUACCUCCUUGCUCUCCUGCUUCAGUGGGACCAACUUCUUCCUGCAUGUGUUCUCCAUCAGGAGCUGGCUGAACAGGUUUCUGGAAAUACAGUCUGCAUAGUAAGAUCAUGCUGCCCCUUUCUCCCAUUCCCACUCCCGAGUGCCACUAACUCCACCAGGACCCAGAUACCCAUGAAGACUUAAUAGAAUUCAUUUCGAUACAUAUAAGGCGGCUGCACAAACCACAAAGAGUAAAUUCCGGGAAGAAUAAAUUAUUUGUUUGGCCUGAGCACCAAUUAGUGUCCACAUCUCUCAAAAAGAACAUGGAUUUACAACUAACCAUGAAAGCCCAAUGCAUGGGGGCAACAUCAAUUAGUAGUGGGCCAACACCCUCAAAGGAGGUCAGUAGAACCAAGAGAAGGUCAUGCUAACCAUGUGGUCCACACACUGAGUAUUGUAAAACCUGGUAUGACACCAUAGGUCCAGGUCAGCCUAAUAACCUUCUGCUGACUUCAAUCAGUGCUGUUCUAUCUAGAGCCUUCUGAAGAUGCCUAGACAAUCCUGGGAUGAGUAACAGUCUUUUAUGGAACUGAAAACUGAGUCCUAAUGACCCUGGCACACUGAUGUGUAAACAGCACAAGAGAUAGAACCAGAGCUGAAGACCGUCCAAUCCAGAACAAAGAAAGUCAGAAAUGGCCAUUCCACAGGUGAUAGCCUUUCUGACCAGGACUUACCUAGAGAAGGUAAUCUCCUUCUUCAGCUUAUGGUUGUUCUCAUGGAUCUCAGUGUUCUCCAUCUCUAAGUUGGGCAGAAUUGACAUGACCGCCUCCUCCAUUCUCUCCAGGUCUUCAUAAUAUGGAUUUGGCCUGAAGUGUGGCCUGGCCCCAAAUGAUAGAAUCCAAUGAACAUCAGCAUUUAGGAAUAUAUGAGCUCAGGGUGGGUCCUGUACUACCCCAGUCCUGGAAGGACACCUUCUGAAUUCUACAUAUUGGAUCUUCUUCAGCUUCAGAAACCUGUUUUUCUGUGUCCAGGACACCAGAAUCUCAGCAUCCAGAUGGAGGGUUCCCUGGCUCCCUUUGUUCAAUCAAGAGGAAAUCUGCAGUCAAGCCAGUUAAGCUAUCAAGAGCCUAGGCCACACCUCUCCAUGCUCCCCCACCCAACACACCCAGAAACCGGUGAUUUCUUUUUUCCUGUCCCGAUAACAGACCAUAUAUCAACCCAAAAUUAUAAUCUGCACAAGGAAUACAAAUGUACAGACAAUCGUGGCCACAUAGGCAAAGAACUGUGCUGUUGACAGUGGGGCUCCCAGAACAAAGCAUUCACAUCACCAUGAAUGUGUUACAGGUAAAUACUCAGGCCAAGACAUAGACCCCUAGAUUCCAAUGUGGAGGGAAAUAUAAACAUAUAAAUGUUGUACAUAUGCAUUUGGAUGUAUGCACAUACAGACUCACAGACUGAGAAAUACCCACAAAAAAAAAAAAAAGAAAUGUAAAAACAGAGUCAGAGAAAGAGAAAGAGAAAUAUGGAAACAGAGAGUAUUGUGAAAACCAGGAGAAAUGCAUCCACCAUUGCUGUCUCAGAGGGCAAGACACACAGACAAUAACAAACAGGCCUGAGCCUGAGACCUUCUAGUCAAGCAUUGAGAUGAACAGUUUGGUACCAGGCCCCUCAGGCUGCUGUGUGGAUCUUCCAGCACUCAGUCCCCUGCCUAGCAAUUACAGAGACUCACCAUAAACUCACUGCAAUUACAAUCUUGCAAAGCCACCAUCUGUCAAGGGCUUUGCAAAUGCACACUAGACACUCACUCUCCCUGACUUUAUCCCCGAAUUCUUCAUUCAGACCACAAGUUCUGCUUUUCAAUAAAUGGAAGCAGAUGAGUCCAUUUCCAUUUCGCUCCUCAGGAAGGGUCAAGGUUCUGAAUCUCCUCUAUAUGGGAGGUGAGGUUUAGCACAGGGUGGUUAGGGAGGCACAGCUUUCUAGAACCCAAAACCUUAAUAGGAUAAGAUGAAGGUGACCUUGCAGACCCAGGAAUGAAACAAGAGCAUUUGGAGCGAUUCAUACCUGUUCUUCAUGGAUCUCUCUGUUAGAAACCUCAGGCGAUCUCUCUGGUCAUUUCUCUCCUCGGUAAUGAGCUGCAGCUCUUUAAUCAGCCUCUCCUUUUCCUUCUUGGCCUGAUUCUCGCUUAGUUCAGUGCCAGGGGAUGAUGUUUCUCUCCCAGCGUCUGUAGGUAGAAGAACACAAGUGAACCUGCAUGGGGAGAAUGCGUAGAGUGUACAUAGAACACAGUUAGGCCUAAACAGGAGAACAAGCCUGGAACCCAGUGUCACUGCUAGGCGAUUGGUCUAUGCUUAAGAGGCCUCCUCAGUGGAUCUCAGUUCUCCCACUACUCUAUAGAGACCAAGAGAUGUAAGCAUCCAGGUGUUCCCUAUUCCGGACAUCAGGUGCUUACAUGGACCACGGAGAUGGCUUCUCCAGGAUCAUCAUCAGCUGAACAGGGUACAGCUUGGUUUCAGGACCCUCACCCCUGUGGGUUUGAACUCAGAUGAAAAAUUCACCAUCCACAAGACUUGAGUGAUUGGAGACACUCAGAUGCCCUAUCCUGAUACUCUAGGCCAACAACUUUGGAUUAAAAACACAUUUCCAUGGAGGACAUGGUCAACAGACUUAUCAGUUCCCCUAUUUGAAAUACCAAAUGCCCGAGAAGUUCCAAUAGGUUACAGGCUGAAUCUUGGUCCACAUGUUCCAAAUACUUUUGGUAUUUUAGAAUCAUGGAUUUAAAACGCAUUUCCAGGGAGGAUAUGUUCAACAGACUUAUCAGUGUCCCUAUGUGAAAUACCAAAUGCCCCAGAAGUGUGAAUAGGUUACAGGCUGAAUCUUGGUCUACACGUUCCAAAUAGUUUUGGUAUUGAAAAAAAAUUUUUGUAACAUACAACCUCUAAUAUAUAAAGCAAACUAUGACCCUGCCAGUUAGAAGAAAUCAGAGAAGGUCUAAGAACAUAAGGUUAUUGCCUGGAGCACAAUCUCUCCCUGUUACUACUGUCAGAUACCCACUGUAUUUAAAGAAGCAAUGAGAGUGAAAUACAUUGCUGCCCUGUCUAAACUCAGAAAAGGUGGACCCUCCAUGAAUACUGAUGGUGUUAUUAUAUCAAUGUAACAGAACAAAUGAACUGAAAAGUAAAGACCAGAAGUUCACAGUAUAAUAGCAUUGGCAUUACCAUAUCCUCCCAGUGGGGAUGGGGAAACUAAAGUUCUGAAAUCCUUAACUUUAAGGAAUUGUGAUAUUCAUGGAAAUUCAAUUCCUUUUCAGAUGCUCCAGUUGUUGUGGCCCAUUGCUAGAAAGGUCAGCUUAAGCCUGCAGCCCCCCGGUAGGAAGCUCAAAAUACACUGCCCAGAACUGACUCAACAUUCCCCAGAAGUGCUGUCUUUGUCCAUCAUUACUUUGAGACGAAAGGCUAGACUCCUUCACUCUAGUCUCUCCAGAAUCGACGUUCCCCCUCCCAAAACGCUUCCUAAGACGGGAAAACAUGUCUUAGCUUGAAACCGCCAGACUCAGACUGAGAGAAACUAGGGCACUGGUUGUCACUACAACACUGGUGACAUCACAGAGGAUGCCAGAACUCUCUAGGAGACAAUAGAAUGUCCAAGAAGGGACAGCAGAUGUCAUGGGGUGCAGACUUUGCCUCCCUGCUAAUAAUCUCCCUGUACUGAGCAUAAGCAGAGGGGCCCUUUCCAGGAGACUUUCCUGGGGCAGAGCCACUGAGCAUCUCCUGCUUCCAAAGCCAAAUUUUCCUCAAGGCUUGAUUAUAAAAACCUUAGUAAUUCCUAUGCAUCUAAAUGAAUGUUUCCUUCCAUAUCUUGCCCCAAAAUGUCUCAUCCUAACUCAAAUUUCCUCAUUCACCAAUGUUAGCCAUUAAAACUUCCGGAGAUUUCACACCAGAUUGAAUAUGCAGUCAAAAGCUCUCUUGUCUCAUUCUGUACAGGUGCUUUAUAUCACAUCAAGAAAUAGUCUGCAUGGUAGGUUACAACAUGGGCGUGUGUUAGGGGAACACUCAUGAAGUCAUGUGCUUUGCAAUUGACAAUUGCCAGAAAAUUCCUUAGUUGAAAGAGUUGAAGUCUUUAUGGUGCUAGGAACAGUGUGGAGACCAGUUGGCAGAGGAAAGUGCAAUAUUGGACCCACCAAUGAAGGGAACCUCAUGCUGCUUGUGGGGUUCUCAUCUCUGCGCCAAUGUCGCCAAAGGAGCACUGCUGACAGGCCUUCUAUCAGAAGCUGAGCUUCUAUCAAAAAAAUAAAAUAGUCAAGAGAUAUAGGGGGUGCACAUAAAGGUGUACGACGAGGCUAUACACAUCACUACGUGGAUAGAGCAAGGACCCAGCACUUGUGCUCUGGGUCAUGGGCUUCUCCACAAACACAAAAGCAUCUGUCACAGUAAAAAAUGGAUACUGUAUUGAGUGCACACACUAACACUGAUUGAUCAGAUCCAUACCCCAGAUUUUGGGGGCAGAUCCAUGGCCCCAAAUAUCUUCCUCUCAACUUAUACAGCAAAAAAUAAGAAAGAAAGAAAAAG